GCCAGGCACGGACCCGAACCCUCUUGUAAAGCGAAGGUCGUCGGUUCGAAUCCGACAGGGGGCUCCA
rnacentral:tRNA from 1 species